rnacentral:misc_RNA from 1 species
GUUUUUUUAGUCGUACGUUAUGUACAGUAGACAUUCCAUUACAUUCAAGAGUGUGUAAAAGUACUCGAGUCACCAGGCCAGCAAAGCGGCAACUCAGAGUCAUAAAGUGCACAGGUGUGUGGAUUUGCGGCUUGGUAACGUGCACAUGUGUCUCCACCAGCACAGAUAUCAAGCCGACUUUGAAGUUUCACUAAUGAUCCUUCCGCAGGUUCACCUACGGAAA